UCGCCGAAUCGCCUUGAGUUUGAUAUGGCUCAGCCUGAACGCUGGCGGCGUGGUUAAGACAUGCAAGUCGCACGGGAGCCGCAAGGCUCUAGUGGCGCAAGGGUGAGUAAUGUAUCGCUAACGUACCCUGGACACUGGGAUAGCUGCCCGAAAGGGCAGGUAAUACCAGAUGAAAUAUCCAUCUCGCAUGAGUGUGGAUCUCAAAGGAGCAAUCCGGUCUGGGCGCGGGCGAUAUCGUAUCAGCUAGUUGGUGAGGUAACGGCUCACCAAGGCGACGACGCGUAGCCGGACUGAGAGGUCGGUCGGCCACAUCGGGACUGAGACACUGCCCGGACUCCUACGGGGGGCUGCAGUAACGAAUCUUCCCCAAUGGGCGCAAGCCUGAGGGAGCGACGCCGCGUGGAGGAUGAAGUCCUUCGGGAUGUAAACUCCUGUCAGGGGUUACCAAGAUACUGAGGAGCCCCAAAGGAAGAGGCGGCUAACUCUGUGCCAGCAGCCGCGGUAAGACGGAGGCCUCGAGCGUUAGGCGGAAUCACUGGGCUUAAAGCGUGUGUAGGCGGAUCGUUAAGUGCCUUGUGAAAUCCCACGGCUUAACUGUGGAACGGCUGGGCAUACUGGCGGUCUUGAGCCAUCUAGGGGCGACUGGAACAAACGGUGGAGCGGUGAAAUGCGUAGAUAUCGUUUGGAACGCCGAAGGUGAAAACAGGUCGCUGGGGAUGAGCUGACGCUGAGACACGAAAGCCAGGGGAGCAAACGGGAUUAGA
rnacentral:rRNA from 1 species